CAUCCUCCCUUUAUCUUGACCUUUGUAUCUUUAAGGCAUUAUUUUACAGUUUGUUUUUGUCUUGCCUUUUCUAGGAACUACAGAUUUCUUCCAUGGUGUAACUACAGUGUGAUGUGGGCAGGCAGACUGUUCUACGUCCCUGCCUGGAUAUGUGGUUUAAGCAUCAUCCUCUAAAGCCCGCCAGUGUAUCAAGGUGGGGGCUGAACUUAGGGUCUAAAGACAGAGUUAUGCCACACUUCUUCACCUCAACUAGAAAGGUUUAACAUCUACUUUUUCACAGCUGAAAAAAAACAUACAUACUAUCUUCUUCAGCUGAGUGGUUCCUGCAGGAGGACAGCACGGUGCUCACCAGAUGUUGUACCACAGAACAGAAGCAGUAAGACAGACCUGCCAGGGCAGAGUGCUACUGGACAUGAACAGGGUGACUUGUAGCCAAAGGGACUUGCAGCAAGAGCAAAAUUACCUGGUGGUAGCAGAGCAGCGUGGGAAACCAUCUCAAGACCAGCACUGCAUUGUGCUGCAUUGCACACGCACUGACCAAGACCAGAGGCAAGCUGGUGGCAGCGGCAGGAAGGCGAGCUAUGGAGGCUGUGCAAACUCAUCCUGCUGAGCUUUGGUGAUGGCUUUGAGGAUGCUCAAGUCCAUUGCUAUAGAACAGACACUCACUAGAACAGCCUGGUACACCUGACUUUGGACAGCUCUGAGUGAUACACUGGCAGUAAGUACUCACAUAAAUCUACCUUUCAGUAGCUCAGAAAAUCUUUUGUUUAGAUAAAUAUAGAAAAUGUAUAGCUGUAAGCACAGAAGCAAAAUAAAUAGGUCUGGAAGAGCUGUCCAAUAUGUUACAAAUGCUUUCUUUUUCUUUUUCUCUUUUCUUUUUUUGUAUUUCUUUUGCCUUUUUAAAAAACUAUUGUUUUGAUUAUAUGCUGAAUUUUACCACAAAUACUCCUUAAAUUAUAAGAUAAAACCCAAUGAUUUUAACAUUGGUAUGUUACAACCAUAGGCAA